rnacentral:lncRNA from 1 species
AAGCCCAACACCUUGGACCCUCUCCUUUUUCUUUAACAAGACAACAAUGGAAAACCUAGGAGAACCUCUUCAUCUUCGGUUCUUAACAAAAAUACACCCACAUAGAUAGAGUAAAAAGGGGGAAACGAAGCUUCACCAUCAAAAGGAAGAAAAACAGAAAAGAGAGAUUGAAAAAUAGGGAAAACAAAUUUGUCCGUUUUUAACAUCUCUUCAUAACCAUCGAUUCCACUCAAAAAUCAUGUAGACUACAAAUCAAGCCGCCUUUCUUCUCCUUAAUAAUCACUGUCCAAGCACAUUAAAUUCACCAAAAAUCAACCAACUCACUUGACCCAUUCACAACAGCUCGUCAACCUCACCAGACCCACCCACGACAACCAGCAUCGGAAGCAUGCACUCAACAUCUAAGACCCGUCGGAAAAUUGCCGCUAACUACCCAUAUCCCCUUCGUCAUUAUUAGACCACUCUGCUGAGAUUCCGAGUAAAGUUAGAGGUCGGCGGCCAGGUUCGAUUUGGACCGUGUUCCAGUUUUCCAUCCAAAUUUUGGUUGCUAAUUUUUGAAUCUCCAUCUCAUCUAUCGGCCAUUUGGUGUAAGAUUUAAGCUGAAGAUACUUAAUAAUACAUCGGAAAGGAUCAUCGCUGCUUAAGUUCCAAUUUUAAACUCUUGUUCAUUCUUUAACUUUCAAAUUGUGUUGUGUCCAUGCUUGACUGAAAUAGUUAUUUGCCUUUGUGUUUUGCUUUUGUCUUCUUGAGAAAUUGAUGUUUACUCAUAUUAGUGAAUUUGGCUAACCAUGCUAUUUAGUUGUGCGACUUAUAAAGAAAUUAAUUAUUUGAAGGC